GUGCUGGUGGCGGAAUUGGUAUACGCGUUAGUUUCAGGAGCUAAUCCGAGAGGGUGUGGGUUCGAGUCCCAUCCAGCGCACCA
rnacentral:tRNA from 1 species